AGCAGCCGCGGUAAUUCCAGCUCCAAUAGCGUAUAUUAAAGUUGUUGCAGUUAAAAAGCUCGUAGUUGAAUUUCGGAAUCAGUAUGUUGGUCGUGCUUCGGUACGUACUGUCAUUACUGGUUUCUACCUUCUGAAGAACCUUGAUGUCAUUAAUUUGGUGUCUUGGGGGAAUCAGGACUGU
rnacentral:misc_RNA from 1 species